rnacentral:rRNA from 1 species
AGUGAGUUUCCGUUGAUCCUGCGGAAGAUUGCUGCUAUGGGAGUUCGAUUAAGCCAUGCAAGUCAGAGGGCUCGCAAGAGCACAGGCUGAAGGCUCAGCAACACGUCAAUAAUCUGCCCUUAGGCAGGGGAUACCCUUGGGAAACUGAGGUUAAGACCCUAUAGGUAAGAGAAACUGGAAUGUUCUUUUACUCAAAGGCAACGCCUAAGGAUGAGUUGGCGGC